UCUGCACUUCCUUCUCCUGCCUGGCCUGGCUUAGAAAUAUGUAGACAAUUACCUGAGGCUAAUAUUAAAUUUUUAAUUUUUUUUUCUCAAAGCUGAUCACAACGCUGGCCAACUUUAAGAGGAAAGCUGGUGAUCUAGUCUGCAGCACACCUCCACAGACAGCCAUGCUAGCACAACAGAAGGAAGAUGGAGGGUACCUUGAGCUGGUAUUGCUGCAGAACAUUUUGUACCAAACCAUGACAGAAAGCUAAAAUGACAAACAGUAACUACUAUCUCAGGAUUGUGUAUCACUCAGCUGUCUACACUGAUGAGUUCUUCAGAUCCCAACAUGGAAUUGCAAGAUUCUGAGUCUUACAGAGGUUUAUGGUGGCAUUCCUUUCAAGAAGAAGGAAGUAUCUGCUGGGCAGCAGGGUACUUAAGGUCCUGUUUGGAACCUUGCAAUACUUCCCCUUCUAUGUGGGCUCAGAAUACCCUUCUGGAUGCAGCACUUAACAUUCACAGAAAGGAGAACAGAAGAAAAAGACAAGAAACUAACAAAAGUUAUCUGAGCAACCUACAUAGUACUGUUGACAGGUAAAUUGCUGGCCACCAAAAAUCAGCUGCUGCUUUUUGUUGUUGUUCCUCAGUCUCACUUCUCUAGAUUCCCUCUACUCCCAGAGAAAAGUUUGGCAUGGCUCAGGCUGCCUUCAACAGAAUCAUUCUCUGCUUCUCAGCUCUUGAAAUCAAAAUAGUCUGGCAUGUUAAAUGUGACAAUCCACAGUUUUUGUUUCUGUGAAGUAGGAGGUGUAUUUUCAACAUCAAGCAAGCAUAUUUCAUCGCUAGUGCUCUGAAACUUUAGUAGUUGCUUAAUUUAGUGUAUGGUUGCUACAAGAGUGAUUAGAGACUCUGCUUUCUGAGGAAUCCCAUGACCAGGACAAAAGGAUGCCUGGCAAAGGCUGGGCAGGGGUAGAGCCUGGGGGAAAAUUCUCUGGAAAAAGAGAGAGAAUCAUAAACUGUGGCAGGAAGAGCUAGGUAGAUUCCCCAGAUAAUGAUGUAGAUGUGCUACAGAUACCAGUGCUAUGAGGUCGCAGCUAAUCCAUAUACCUCAGGGUUUGGAUUGAGACUCCUGCCAGCUUCUCCCACAUUUGUGUAUUAGAAGCUGAAGAAAAUCUAGUUGCUGCAGUCACUGUAUAGAGUACUAUAGAGUAUGCAUCCAUUCACGGUGGUACUUAUGCAGUCUGGAAACCUUUGUCGGUGUGUAGCAAACAGGUAUUGGAUACAGAGAGACUAUUGCAUUACAAAAGAGAAAUGAAAUAAAGAUCUUACCUAUGUCCUGGGCUCAUAGAAGGGCUCCAAGAGGAAGGAUCUCCAGAUAGAGAUCUUCCCUCCUUGGGAGUCAGCCCUUAAAUGGGGUCUAGGAGAGGUGGAGUGAGGCUCCACCCCUUCCAGUUACUCAGGUGAAAUUGCGUUCACCUGUGCCCCUGCAGCUGACUCUGCGCUCACCUCAGGUGGUCAAUCAGAGGUUCUGGCUGUAAUUCAACAGUUCCCACACAGUCUGAAAGCCUAUAUUUUUCAUGUGCAUGGCUGCUGCUGUUGUAUUGUGGGGAGAAGAGCUUCUGUACUCACGCUGGAGGCAGAACCAUGGCUCUGCCAGGUCAGUGGAUUCUCCUUAAGUCAACAAACAGUUGAACAAUUUUUAGCAGAUACGAUGUCCAGAACACAAUAUGCCUCUUUUCAUCACUACAAAUAAAAAAUCAACAAACAAACAAAAAUGAAAAAUGCAAAAACCCACAAAACAACCUUGAAUGGAGUAUCUGAUGGAUUCACAGAGGAACAGUUGACAUCUGGAGUUCAGAAGAAGUCUGAGGAGUUAAUUAUGAACAAACACUUGCACAUAUGGCAUUAAUCAUUGAAAUUAGAACACAGAGGGUUCUCCUUAAGUCAACAGUGGCAAAUGCUGUAAUAUGGACACUUAUUUCAGGUAGUGUGAAUCCUUUGUUACAGAUGGUUUAUAGUCUUUCACAACUAUGCCUAUAUUUGGCACCCUGUAAAUAAGCUAUAAAAGUGUGUUCUUACCUCUAGAGGUCCAUAAAAUUGGACAUACAGAAAUUGCAAGAAUGAGACUAGGAACCAUCAAUGUGUCAAAGCAGAAAGGCAGCAUGACUUUUGAGUAACCUGAAGUAGAAAAUGCAGCUUGUACUCCUGUGACUCUGCUUUUUAAGGUUCAUGAUUUUAUGUGAUUAGGAAAGAAAUGAAAAUGUGACCUGAAUAAAGUGCAGAUAAGUCUGAGUCUCAAUUUAAAUUUAAAAUCUCUUGCUGACAUAGAUAACUUGAUUUGGAUUUAAAAAAAACACCACAACAAUCAUGGCUGUUUCAAUAAAUGUUAAUACAUUGCAAUUAUACCCAAGGCAAGAAAAGUUACUUUAUUGGCAUACUUCAUUCUGCUGAGCAUGGAUAAAUGUCAAGGCCAGUAUCACAGCGUAUAGAUGUGCUGUUAUAUCCAGGCUAACCUGACAAAACUUGCACUGAAACAGAGAAGUGCUUACACAGGCACCAACAGCAUCUGAAUGGUACUGCAGUUUACUGUCAGUAUGCAGCACUAUAGACAGAAAGGGAUAAUAAAGACUCAUCUGUAUGGAUUUGGACUGUAUGCUGACUGACCUGAGGGCUAAAGAAUUCUCCUUGACCUAUUUUAUUUGGUAGCAUAGAUACUCCUUUACAAGCUGUUUCAUGUUUUCAAACAGAAAACUUUGAAAGAUAAAAAAGAAGAAAAAAAAAAGUGAGAGGUUUUCUGUCCAGGCACUAGUGAGUUAGCUGGUGUGCCAUGCACUCAGGUGAGCAUGAUGUUCAAGUGAGACAUGGGUGCUACUAGCUAAAGAAGGGUUCUUCUCCAGAGACAGCACUCUGUUAUACCACAGCCUUAAACUGCACUGUUAAGCACAGAAAAAGAUGUUUGGAAGUAGUUUCAGAAUGAUGGAUUCCACACUGGGAAUAAGACAUCCUGUGCAUUUUUUUUCUGCUCAGGCAGAUAGCAAGUUGUAAUAACAUGUGAUACUAAAAAAUUAAGAAUGCAUCUAAUUUUGAAGAGACGUGCCUCUGAUCUAUGAAAAAAAACAAAAACAAAAAACAACUUUUUUUAUUAACCUGAAGACAUUGCUCAAAUGACCCAUCAGAACAGGAAUGGAGUGGACAUAGAACAAUCUGGUCUGAAUCCAGAAGGGCUGGGAUUUGGCUGUGGUGUUCCUCUGUACAUCUGAGGGAAAUAGACUAAAGCAGCAGGGAAGGAGACAUUCUAUGGAAUUUAUUAUAGGAAACAUUUGGCUUGUGACAGCAGGGGCUAUGGAUGACAACAGGCCCUCCUUUCCAUACAAGCAACAACAGCAUAUGAUUGUUUGCGUAUGUCUGUGCGUGUCUGCAAAUGAUGUCCACUGGGAACCUGAAACUGUGAGCAUGGAAACUAUCUCCUGUCUCCUGCUGCACUUAGAAAAAUAGAGUUGUACAUAUAUUGCUUGAAAGGCACAGGGCUCGAGUGAACAAGCCAUCAUCUGGUUCUCCCAGUGGAAGCAACCUGCAGCAUCCCAACUGCUGGCUAGGACUAGCACAAGAACCAAUACCAUUGCCAUUCAGCUCCCAGUCUCCUGGAGCAAUAAAGAAAACACAAGAGCAAUCCUCUCUGGCAAACACAAAUCAAUCAUUAAUAAAAUGCUAAACUGUAAAAAGUAGAAACAUCCAAACUCCUCAGACUUUUACUAGUAUUAGGAAAUAGGGAACACACUUUCACAGUUUUUUUCUCUAUUUUUUGUAACAGCUUUAUUUCUAUUUCUAUUGUAUUUUCUUACUCUCAAUAUUUUCAAUUUAUUACUUCAAUUAAAAAAAAAAAAAACCAACAACACCAUACUCAUUUAUGUCUUAGAAAGACAGAACACAUCUGAAAAAAAGAUUGGAUUUUAGCAGGAAGUGCCACUACUGUUUUUGAAAACUGCAGUGUUACUUUCUACUCUACUUUCUAACCAAUACCAGGGAGGUGCCAGAACUUGAUGUGCUUGAACGGGUUGCUCAGUGAAGCCGUGGAUGCCCCAUCCCUGGAGGUGUUCAAGACCAGUUUACAUGGAGCCCUGGGCAACCUAAAUCAAGUGCUUGAUUUAGUGGCUGGCAGCCUCGGCUGCAACAGGAGGUUGGAACUGCAUGAACUUUGAGGUCCCUUACAAUCCAAGCCAUUCUAUGAUUUUAAGAUACAAUGGAAGAUCCUAAAACACAUUUAAAGCAAUAGACCAACGAUCUGAUAUCUGCAGCAAUCUAACCUACGUAAGCUUUGUAUUAUGAUAAUAUUCAUGCAGAAUAUGCAGUAAUCUGCUUGUGAACAUCACUAGUAUUCCUCAUUUAAGCUCCAGUAGAGAUAGAUGAGAUUAAUCUACAUCUCAUGCCCAGAGAGGAAGUAGAACACAUCCACAGAGGGUAAGAAAAAGAAUAAAAUACUGUACCAUUAGUGCAAUUAACCAUUUCAUGAUCACCCAAUUUUUCCAAACAGAUUAAGUUAUUAAAGAAGAAUAGAUAAGUUUUCAUGCUUCCUCUGAUGUCAGAAUAAAAGGUAAAAGAGUGCAGGAGCAGUUUGAAGAAACCUAGAAGUCUAAGUUCUUGUGGGCGUGUGAGGUGGAAUUUCCACCUGGUGCAAGGAGGAAACUGCCACUAAAUGCCCUGCAGGGAUCUUUCCCAGAGCUUUGGGAGGAAUUUUAUUCCAGGAUGAAGCUGGCCCAUGUCACAAACUGUUGAAGAAAAGCUUAAAUUCAAUAGAAUUCUUGAGCUACUGCUCAAGAACGUGGGUUUUGCAUUAUCUCAUGCAUGUAGGAAAGUGUGAUAAAUUUGUUUUGAUCCUGACAAUGUUUUAGAUAAAGAAAUCUGCCCUCAAGAAGUCUCUGUAAAUCCAUAACUGUGCAACAAGUUAUAAUGCUGGAGCCUUGAAGGUUAUUCGUGCCCUCAUUAUACAAACUAAAAAUGAACAUAGAGAGACUACCUCUUUAAAUAACUUGGGAUCUCUUUAGAUGGUCUAUAUUAGAAGCCCCCAGAGCAAGCUGACACUUUUAGACACUGUAUCUCUUAUAUAUAAUCUGUAAAUGGAAUUGUGCAGAAUUCUCCUGAGCCCCACACACUUCCUUCAGAUUUUUGAUGCUGUGGGAAGAAGAAACACACUAAGGUCUCUCGAACUUCAGCAAAGGAAUCCAAUUAAAUUCUAAUACUGGUGGCCAUGUUAUCGCUGAACUGUAUUCUUGUUUCUCUAAUAUAUUCUCUACCAACACAAUUCAUAUACGUCAACUGUCAGGGAAAUAGUAAUACAUACAAAUGAAAAGGAGAAAGCUCAGAAGUGGUAAGGGAGAUCUACUUGAAAACCUGUAAGGCUAAUUUUUUGUGUUACUGCGCAUAAGGUAUAAUGUAUAGGAAUAUUACAAAAGUAAUUAAAACAGUACAGCUUAUUUGUCUCAACUAUCUCUUCCUUUGUGGACUGAUCAGUCAAACCUCAGAAAUUUUUUACUGACAUUAAUGGGCACUGCUGCAUCAGCCGUAGAACAAAUCCCUUGUAGUGAGUAUUACUGCUGUUACAGCUGGAAAAUUUCUGCAAUAUGUUGCAAUAACAGAUACUGUUUGAUUCUUAAGAAAAAAAUUAAAAAAUCAUCCUUGAUGGUAAAUGAAUCAAGUGGAGAAUAGUCAGGGAAAAGUCAAUUUUUCCCUGACCAUCAAUAUGAGUACAUGUAGUCUCGAUGUCUCUGAUAAUGACUUGCACACGAUGUUUCAGAGGAAGAUGCAGAACAAACAAACAAACCAGCCCAUACAGCAGAUAACAGUAGAUAGUAAUGGAAAUCUAUCCUCAACAAGGAUUUUCUUCCUCAGCCUCAUUGGAUCACACCCUAAGCCUGAAUUUUUGAUCUGUUUCAAAUAUGUUUUUGUCUACAACCUUGGACUCCUUCCCGUUCUUUUCAUUCUUACUUAUCCUGUCUUCUAUUGCUGUUACUAAAGUCAGUGGGGGUUUAUGUAUUAGUGUCUAUGAGUUCAAGGUAACCUCUAAGCAGCUUAUUACAUAACAUAUGGUAGCAAAUGAGUGUAAUGACAAAUUUAAGAGAAUUGUUUAUGUUUGAAUCAGCAAAACUUAACUUAAUCCUAAUGGUGGCUGCAUAUCUUAGAAAAGUUAUACGAUGGUUUGACACUUGUUUCUUGAACAAAAUGCUACCUUAAUAUGACAUAUUGCCCAAAUCAUGCACUGCAUCUCACUUUCUGGUAAUAUAACAUUACACAUUCUGCUUUACUUCAAGGUUUUAACUUAAAGGUUUUAGGUUGUGUCCCUAUGGCCAUAUUCUCUUUGCUCUGCAGUACCUUUUUAUCUUUCCUUAAUAAAAACUACUUCUACCAUUGAUGUGGAUACACUUGCUUCUUGGAAAGAAAAGGGCUUAGAAGUAUAGUAAUGGCUGGUGGAAGAAGAGACAGAAAAUACUUAAGUUAGUGAUUUUAAAGAAUGAAUUACUGUUUAGCAAAAAUUAGGAUGGAGGGCAUUGCACUGUUUUUUUGUUGAAUUUUAUUUUUUUUAAUGUGUUUCUAAUUUAAGAUAGCUGCAUAUCCUUGGUUUUUACCAGUUAAUUUCACAGUAGGUCUUUAUAAAACGACCUUAAUCAGAAAAGGUGGAUAUAGCAUAUGGAACUGAACCCUGUGAAGAAAAAUGAAGACAAUGCUAGUGUAAGUGUAUCAACAGAUAACAUGACAAAACACACAUCUCACUGCUACAAUAAAUUCCAGUACAAGCAUGCUUCAUUCUCAAAUAUGCUGUCUCCUAUUCUACAUUUCCAAGUCAAAGUAACCUGUUAAUUGAGAGCAUAAUGAUUAGAUAGGAAAAUUACAAAAGAUGACAUCAGGUAUACAAAGCCAGUCAGUCAGGAGAACAUAAAUGUAACAUCUUUGAAAUCAAAGUUAUUUGACAAGAAGCUAGUAACCUGUCUGGGCUGGUGUGUGAGCCUGUAAAAGUGGGCUUACUAUGUUCUUCACAAGCUUCAUCCAAGCAAGGACAGAAAAAACUCCUUUAAAGAAAGCACUGCAGCCAUCUAGCCUUGAAAAGAUGCAAGUGUUUAGCAAUUCUCUGAUCAUAGCGUGGAAUCAAGGAAGAAUCUUCUAUAGAUUCCUAGGUAUUUCAGGACCCAGUAACAGAUGGAUCAGUUGAAGCCAAAAACACAAGCAAACUGAAUUCAUUAACACAUCAACUAGAAAUUAGUUAAAGGCAACAGUGAUCUAAAUGUCCAUCUUUCUUGAGUUCAUCUUUACAAAGUUGCAGGACAUUUCUCCUUGGCUCAUAACAAAGUCUUGCUAAUGCUGUGUACUCUGGUUCUUCCUAAUGCUGAUGAGAUAAGGAACAAAUCGAUCAAUGCUCUCAUUGUGUUUACUGGGAAACCAACAAUCAGGAGAGAGGACUGAAUUCCCUGAAUCCUAAUUAUACAUGAAUUUGCUAGAGUAUCCCUCUAUAUUGCUCUAAGAUAUGAACAAUCAGUAACAAAAAUAUGAAGAAAAAACCCACACAACAGUGUAAAUUAUAGAAAAAACGGACAGAGUCAAAUAUGACAGUAUACCAUUAAGGAAUUCUAGUUGUGCCCUGCUUUGGCCUCUGGACAUUCUCAGUUCAUAAAUUAAGUGUCAGAUCUCACCUGCACUCCUCUCAAAAAUUCUCAAGUUUGGCAUUACUAGAAAAAAGAAUCUUAUUUCACUAAGAUUACCUGCCAAUCUGGGCUAUUACCAUGUGUACUAGAGAAAGGACAGAAACCUAUACUAUCUCACAGUAAAGUUAGUGCCAGAUAUUCCUGUUGUCCCCUACCUAGAGGGAAUUUGAAAUAGAUCCAUCAGCCUUUUGAUGCUAGUGAACUACUGAAACUAAUUUUGGAUCAAUUUCCCAUCCAGCUGCAAAACUGACUGAAAAGGAAAACAAGAAAACAUAACACAAAAGGAAAAUUAGGAUGAAAAUCUGAGACAAAAGGUUUAAAGAAUGGUUUAAAGUAUGCUUUAUUUUUCAGACGCACAGUAGUUUUAGGAAUUUCUUGCUUUGACGCAUAAAAAUGUCAAAAAGAGAUCCAGUACAGCAGCCCAUGGCCCAUACAUAUUGUGCAAAUUCCUCUAUUUUUCUCUGAUAUGUUUGAUGCUGUCCAUUGUUGACAACAGGCUUCUGUUACAAAGGAACUCAGUUUGGUAGCCUGUGUUGUUCCCCAUGGGCUGUUUUGCUAAAAAGAGAUACUUGGGGGCUGACUUACUUCUUUUGUUAUUUUUACAUCCCCUGGGAAAAUGCAGGCUCUCAGUUCAGGAAAACAUGUAACGUCAUAGAAGCUGAAUACAGGAAGUUCUUAUGCUUUCAGGAACUACAUGUUUGUUAUUUUAAUAAUCACACUUUUGCAGAUACAUUACAUAGAAAGAAAUUUCAGGCUCUUGAAUUCUGAUACUUGCUUUCAGUAUGGUAACACUGGCAAAAAUAACAAAUGAUUAAAAAAUAGUGUUGUUUAAUCCCAAUUUUUCUGCCUGCUGUAUUAUAAAUUAAAGAGUCUCCAGAAUAAACGUCUUGUACUUCUGAUCCUUCCUUAUAUAUAAAAAAGAACAGCCUUGUGCCAUCCUCAGUGAUAGCAAGUGACAGGCAGAGAAUGACAUCACUCUUUAUUUUUAACCGCCUGCCUU